rnacentral:rRNA from 1 species
CCCUUAGAUGUCCGGGGCUGCACGCGCGCUACACUGAAUGAAUCAGCGUGCUAGAAAACCUUGUUUGACAUGGCUAGGUAACCCAUUGAAAAUCAUUCGUGAUUGGGAUCGGGACUUGCAAAUGUGUCCCUUGAACGAGGAAUUCCCAGUAAGUGCGGGUCAUCAGCUCGCGUUGAUUACGUCCCUGCCCUUUGUACACACCGCCCGUCGCUGCUACCGAUUGAGUGAUCCGGUGAAUAAUUCGGACUGCGGCAUUGACCGGUUCCCGAUCGUUGCUGCGGAAAGUUUAGUGAACCUUAUCACUUAGAGGAAGGAGAAGUCGUAACA